rnacentral:rRNA from 1 species
AACGAACGCUGGCGGCAGGCCUAACACAUGCAAGUCGAACGCAUCGCAAGAUGAGUGACGCACGGGUGAGUAACACGUGGGAAUGUAUCCUUUGGUUCGGAAUAACGUCUGGAAACGGACGCUAAUACCGGAUGAGCUCUUAGGGGGAAAGAUUUAUCGCCGAAGGAGCAGCCCGCGUCUGAUUAGGUAGUUGGUGGGGUAAAGGCCUACCAAGCCGACGAUCAGUAGCUGGUCUGAGAGGAUGAUCAGCCACACUGGGACUGAGACACGGCCCAGACUCCUACGGGAGGCAGCAGUGGGGAAUAUUGGACAAUGGGCGCAAGCCUGAUCCAGCCAUGCCGCGUGAGUGAUGAAGGCCUUCGGGUUGUAAAGCUCUUUCGCACACGACGAUGAUGACGGUAGUGUGAGAAGAAGCCCCGGCUAACUUCGUGCCAGCAGCCGCCGUAAUAC